rnacentral:misc_RNA from 1 species
GAAAUGCGAUAAGUAGUGUGAAUUGCAGAAUUCAGUGAAUCAUCGAAUCUUUGAACGCACAUUGCGCCCCUUGGUAUUCCAUGGGGCAUGCCUGUUCGAGCGUCAUUUGUACCCUCAAGCUCUGCUUGGUGUUGGGUGUUUGUCCCCGUCUCCGCGCGUGGACUCGCCCCAAAGUGAUUGGCAGCCGGCGUACUGGUCCCGGAGCGCAGCACAUGUCGCGCAAACGAGUGCCUUGGUACGGCGGCGUCCAUAAACCCCUCUCUCACGCUCUUGACCUCGGAUCAGGUAGGGAUACCCGCUGAACUUAAGC